rnacentral:rRNA from 1 species
UACGGAGGGUGCAAGCGUUAAUCGGAAUUACUGGGCGUAAAGCGCGCGCAGGCGGUUUGUUAAGUCUGUUGUGAAAUCCCCGAGCUCAACUUGGGAAUUGCAAUGGAUACUGGCAGGCUGGAGUAUGGUAGAGGAAGGUGGAAUUCCCGGUGUAGCGGUGAAAUGCGUAGAGAUCGGGAGGAACACCAGUGGCGAAGGCGGCCUUCUGGACCAAUACUGACGCUCAUGAGCGAAAGCGUGGGGAGCAAACAGG